AUUGAACGCUGGCGGCAGGCCUAACACAUGCAAGUCGAACGGUAACAGGAAACAGCUUGCUGUUUCGCUGACGAGUGGCGGACGGGUGAGUAAUGUCUGGGAAACUGCCUGAUGGAGGGGGAUAACUACUGGAAACGGUAGCUAAUACCGCAUAACGUCGCAAGACCAAAGAGGGGGACCUUCGGGCCUCUUGCCAUCGGAUGUGCCCAGAUGGGAUUAGCUUGUUGGUGGGGUAACGGCUCACCAAGGCGACGAUCCCUAGUUGGUCUGAGAGGAUGACCAGCCACACUGGAACUGAGACACGGUCCAGACUCCUACGGGAGGCAGCAGUGGGGAAUAUUGCACAAUGGGCGCAAGCCUGAUGCAGCCAUGCCGCGUGUAUGAAGAAGGCCUUCGGGUUGUAAAGUACUUUCAGCGGGGAGGAAGGGAGUAAAGUUAAUACCUUUGCUCAUUGACGUUACCCGCAGAAGAAGCACCGGCUAACUCCGUGCCAGCAGCCGCGGUAAUACGGAGGGUGCAAGCGUUAAUCGGAAUUACUGGGCGUAAAGCGCACGCAGGCGGUUUGUUAAGUCAGAUGUGAAAUCCCCGGGCUCAACCUGGGAACUGCAUCUGAUACUGGCAAGCUUGAGUCUCGUAGAGGGGGGUAGAAUUCCAGGUGUAGCGGUGAAAUGCGUAGAGAUCUGGAGGAAUACCGGUGGCGAAGGCGGCCCCCUGGACGAAGACUGACGCUCAGGUGCGAAAGCGUGGGGGAGCAAACAGGAUUAGAUACCCUGGUAGUCCACGCCGUAAACGAUGUCGACUUGGAGGUUGUGCCCUUGAGGCGUGGCUUCCGGAGCUAACGCGUUAAGUCGACCGCCUGGGGAGUACGGCCGCAAGGUUAAAACUCAAAUGAAUUGACGGGGGCCCGCACAAGCGGUGGAGCAUGUGGUUUAAUUCGAUGCAACGCGAAGAACCUUACCUGGUCUUGACAUCCACGGAAGUUUUCAGAGAUGAGAAUGUGCCUUCGGGAACCGUGAGACAGGUGCUGCAUGGCUGUCGUCAGCUCGUGUUGUGAAAUGUUGGGUUAAGUCCCGCAACGAGCGCAACCCUUAUCCUUUGUUGCCAGCGGUCCGGCCGGGAACUCAAAGGAGACUGCCAGUGAUAAACUGGAGGAAGGUGGGGAUGACGUCAAGUCAUCAUGGCCCUUACGACCAGGGCUACACACGUGCUACAAUGGCGCAUACAAAGAGAAGCGACCUCGCGAGAGCAAGCGGACCUCAUAAAGUGCGUCGUAGUCCGGAUUGGAGUCUGCAACUCGACUCCAUGAAGUCGGAAUCGCUAGUAAUCGUGGAUCAGAAUGCCACGGUGAAUACGUUCCCGGGCCU
rnacentral:rRNA from 1 species